CUAAAAACGCAGCUUCAGGCCUUGGUAUAUAUACUGAAGGAAAAAUCCCGAAUCACCAGGAAACAAACCCUAGCCUCUCACUUUCACUCUCACUCUCAAACAAACCCUCACUCUCUAUUAGUCUCAACACCAUGGCGCCACUGCCGUCUCUGAUCGACACCACCACCGCCGCCGCCGAGAAGCUCUCCGCCCAUAGCUGCUAUUACCAGGCAAUGAAGAUCUUAUUAUUGUUCAUGAUGGUCUUAAGUAUGGGAACUGCCAUCUAUCAUUGGCAAUUCCCAAAUAUGGGAUUUUUGAGAACAUAAAUUCUCUAAAAGAGCUAGCACAAAUGCCUCAAUGGACUGCUGAAAAUCCUCUGCAAGUCGCUACUGGAUUCACCUUCGUCCUAAAUUUAUGAAAGAAAAUUGACUAAAGUAUGUGAGUUUUUCAACUGCUGAUGGAGCACUGGAGGCAACUCUUACGGUUUUCCUGAAGCAUCUUACAACAUAAAUGUUGUCUUUGACUCCAAUUUUGCUGAUGAAGGUUAGUUUUCUGUUUUUGUCUUGUCCGUUAUGAACCAAGCCAAUCGUAUUGUUUCUUGUGCUGUGAUUAUUCUAUUAGUGGCAUGUUGUUACAUUUUGUGAACAAGGAAUGAGUGGGGGGACAGAUACCAGUAAUGUAGUCUAAGUUUGAAGCAAUUUAUUGCUUAUAUGAUAUGAGUGAUAAUUCUCGGCUAUAGGUUGUUCAGAGACUUCGGCUAUAGGGCUAUAGGUUGU